UCUCUCUCUCUCCAAAUACCACCAUAAGGUCACCACCACACCCCCGCCACCGUCGCUUCACUCGUCAUCUUCACAACUGCUGGCGGCGAGGCUGACAGACUGAUCCGGAGACGCUAUUGCCCCGCUCCUCCUCUUCUCUCACUCCACUUGGGAUUCGAAUGAGUUUGAUAAUAAAGACGUGGAUUUGCUUUCUUUCUCGAAAUAGACAGAAAAAGAAACUUGUACAGAUGAAUCUUUUUUCUAAGAUAGUUAAAAAAGAUGUUUAGGGGUCCGUACCUUAACAGAUGCAUAGAUAAUUGGUAUAUUUAAUUACCCAUUGGAGAUUAGUAAAUACUCUUAGAUAAAUGCUUUGUGAUCCAUACCUUUACGGGGCUUGACUGAUGCAUAGAUAAUUAGUAUAUAUUUAAUUACCCAUUGGAGAUUAGUAAAUACUCUUAGAUAAAUGCUUUGUGAUCCAUACCUUAACUGAUGCAUAGAUAAUUACCCAUUGGAGAUUAGUAAAUAGAUAAAUGCUUUGUUUUGGAGGAUAAAAGUAAAGGUUGGUGGGUCUGUAAAUACGGAUAAACAGAGGAAUGGAUAAUAGAUAUGUGUUAAGGGAUUAGAUAAGGUAGUCGAUAGUUAAAAGUAAAGGAUGGUGGGUCUGUAAACACGGAUAAACAGAGGAAUGAUUAAUAGGUAUGUGUUAAGGGAUUAGAUAAGGUAGUCUAUAGAUAAAUGCUUUGGAGGAUAAAAGUAAAGAGUGUUGGGUCUCUCAACACACGGAUAAACAGAUGAAUGGAUAAUAGGGGUGUUAAGGGAUUGGAUAAACUACUCAAUACUCUUAUAGACAGAUGGAUGGAGUUGUGAAUAGAUAGUUUUGCUUUAGUUUCUUUCGUCAAUAAAACGCAGCUGAAGGGCAAUAAAAUAAACAGAAAUCAUAGGCCUAUUGCAUGGGGUUGUGAAUAGAUAGUUUUGUAUUUGUUUCGUCAAUAAAACUCAGCUGAAGGGCAAUAAAAUAAACAGACAUCAUAGGCCUAUUGCAUGGGGUUGUGAGUAGAUAGUUUUGUAUUUAUUUCGUCAAUAAAAGGCAGCUGAAGGGCAAUAAAAUAAACAGACAUCAUAGGCCUAUUGCAUGGGGUUGUGAGUAGAUAGUUUUGUAUUUGUUUCUUUCGUCAAUAAAAGGCAGCUGAAGGGCAAUAGAAUAAACAGACAUCAUAGGCCUAUUGCAUGGGGUUGUGAAUAGAUAGUUUUGUAUUUAUUUAGUCAAUAAAAGGCAGCUCAAGGGCAAUAAAAAAAUAGAUAAAUCAUAGGCGUUCUGCAGACUCCCUAUGUUCUAAAAUCCCCAAGAGUAAAAAAUAUAACAAUCAAAUUCAACAUUCAGAAUUGGGCUUACAGAUGAAUAGCUUUAGACUAUCAAAAAGGAAUGUGUGAAGCCGGCCCCCACAUGAGAUGGAUACUCUGCAUGUUAGGAAAUUAGAAUAAGUUAAGGCAUAUAGGAAAGACUGAUAAAUAGAUAGCUAGUUUAUGUUAAGAAAUUAUAGUAAGUUAAAACAAAGAUGGAUAAAUGAAUGAAUAGAGACCUUAAAUUUCUAUGUAAGGGAAUUAGAAUAAGUUAAGGCAUAUAAAGACGGAUAAAUAGAUUAAUAGCUUAUGUAUAUUAAGGAAUUGGAAUAAGUUAAAACUGUGGAAAAUAUGUAGCCACUUAUUGGGGUAAACCCUUUGAAAUCCCCUCACCUUCGUAGGUGCGGCUCACAGUUAAAUGCUGGGUUUAUAAAAAGGUGUUCAGGUUUCUACUCACAUAAAAGGGAGAUGGAUUCCAGUUAUUUGAAUGUUGUCCUUGUCCCCUAAACAAACCACUGAAAAGGGCGAAACUUAAUGAUUUAGUGAAUUGUUGUGAAAGUUAAUUUAUGUAGCAUGACAAGCUCAGGUGAUUCUGAACUAUUAAUAUAAUUUACCGGAGGUUUGUUGUUUUCAUGCUCCGUAACGACACCGCUUAUUCGUGGUGCCGAACACGUUACUGCCCUUCUGUCGCGUGGACGUUAUGACGCACCACACGUACAGUACUGCUUCAUACGCAACGUCUUCGAUUCUCUUGAGUCGUGCGUAUUUCUUUCCCCUCCUAACACCUCACCUAUUUGGCCAAAUUAGGAUUAAUGCUAGAAAGGUACUUAGCUGUAACCAUCAGGGUGUUAAUGACAGGCAGCAGUAUUGUUGAUCGACGAAUCCUAGUUGUUAGUAGUAUAGUAGUCCGGGCGUCGUGUCUGCUCGCCGUAUCUGGUAAGGCUGGUGAUGCGGGAGCAGUAUUGUAGUUUGACGUAUCCCGGCAGUAAGUAGUAGAAAUCCAGGGCGUCGACUGCUUGCCGUGUCUAAGUAAAUAUCGAGCCCGACGGUGGAGCACAACCAGCGCCGACCCGUCUUCUUUCGAUAGCUAUAAGCUGCUGCCUCUGACAGGCUCGCUUCCUCUCUCGCUGCCUUCCCUCGCACUCUGAAGCGCUAUUCGAAGCAGCUCUUUGAAGCAUCGUUUUAUUUAAGUUAGUUUGCUGGUUAACUUAUUUUUUAUUUGUUAGCUGAGUAAUCUAGUCCUCUCCUCGUAAGUAGGAGUAGCAUUUUUCUUAUAAUUACUCCCCCCCUUUUUUUGUGGUUUUAUUUUUAUUAUUCCCUGCCAAAUAAAUUUUUGACAAAAACAUAUAUAAAGACGGAUAAACAGAUGAGUAGAUAGCUUAAUUGUCUAUGUUAUGGGGGUUAGAAUAAGUUAAAACAUAGAAAGACGGAUAAAUGAAUGAAUGGAAAGCUUAAUUGUCUACGUUGGAGGAUUAUAAUAAGUUAGAUAACCUAGGAAGACGGACACAGAGGAGUAGGCAGCUGUUAACCCUAUCCGAUCCGAGGGAGGACAGAUCUGGACCCCCCUCAAGCACUUCGAUCAAAACGAUACACCUUUUUUUUUUUCCACUAGUUUCUUUUCACUCAUUAUUCAUUAUUGUUUUACACUAUUGGAUACACCUUUUUUUUUUACUUUCCACUAGUUUCUUUCCACUCAUUAUUCAUUGUUGUUUUACACUAUUGAUUCGGUACCAGUACUUAGUGUUCAUGAGCGUUAUCGUUGUUCAGAUAAAUGAGUACGAUGCUUGGUGUUACGAGCGCGAAAAAUUGAAAACGUCGGAUCAGAUAGGGUUAAGGGAUUGGAAUAAGUUAAAGGAUAUAAACACUAAUAAAUAGAUCAAUAGAUAGCCGGUCUGUGUUAGAGAUUUGGAAUAAUUUGAAACACUUACAGACAGACGGACGGAUAUAUAGAUGAUUGCUUUAUUUCGUGGAGUUUUAAUUAAAGAGGUUCGCAGAUCUAUGGAUACGGGAAUGGUUAGAGGAAAAGCUUGGUAAGUAGAAGGUUUAAGAGAGAAAUGAUACACGAUUUGUUUUGUUUAUAGGAUAUAGAGGAAUAGAUGCUGUUAAGGGAUUGGUUUAUUU